GCGGGUCAAAUAGAUCCCCUAGGAAAAGGGGGAGGACUUAAGAUCCUCUGGCGUAGGCCUCCAUGGGUUCAAAUCCCAUCCCCCGCACCA
rnacentral:tRNA from 1 species